rnacentral:rRNA from 1 species
UACAGAGGGUGCGAGCGUUAAUCGGAAUUACUGGGCGUAAAGCGCACGUAGGUGGCGACGUAAGUCGGGUGUGAAAGCCCCGGGCUCAACCUGGGAAUUGCAUUCGAGACUGUGUCGCUGGAGUACGGAAGAGGAAGGCGGAAUUCCCGGUGUAGCGGUGAAAUGCGUAGAUAUCGGGAGGAACAUCAGUGGCGAAGGCGGCCUUCUGGUCCAGUACUGACACUCAAGUGCGAAAGCGUGGGGAGCAAACAGG